GUGUUCCUACGGGGGGCAGCAGUAAGGGAUAUUGGUCAAUGGGGGAAACCCUGAACCAGCAACGCCGCGUGAGGGAAGACGGUUUUCGGAUUGUAAACCUCUGUCCUCUGUGAAGAUGAUGACGGUAGCAGAGGAGGAAGCUCCGGCUAACUACGUGCCAGCAGCCGCGGUAAUACGUAGGGAGCGAGCGUUGUCCGGAUUUACUGGGGGUAAAGGGUGCGUAGGCGGCUUGGCAAGUCAGAUGUGAAAACCCGGGGCCCAACCCCGGGACGGCAUUUGAAACUGCCAUGCUG
rnacentral:rRNA from 1 species